GUGCCAGCAGCCGCGGUAAUACGUAGGGUGCAAGCGUUGUCCGGAAUUAUUGGGCGUAAAGAGCUCGUAGGUGGUUUGUCGCGUCUGCUGUGAAAACUCGGGGCUUAACCCCGGGCCUGCAGUGGGUACGGGCAGACUAGAGUGUGGUAGGGGAGACUGGAAUUCCUGGUGUAGCGGUGAAAUGCGCAGAUAUCAGGAGGAACACCGAUGGCGAAGGCAGGUCUCUGGGCCAUAACUGACACUGAGGAGCGAAAGCGUGGGGAGCGAACAGGAUUAGAUACCCUUGUAGUCC
rnacentral:rRNA from 1 species